UUUUAUGGAUAAGCAAAGGACGUGGUUUCUUGAGAUGGAAUCUACUCCUAGUGAAGAUGCUGUGAA
rnacentral:pre_miRNA from 1 species